rnacentral:rRNA from 1 species
AUUGAACGCUGGCGGCAGGCUUAACACAUGCAAGUCGAACGAGUGGCGGACGGGUUAGUGAUGCUUUGGAAUCUAGCUUAUGGAGGGGUCUAACUACGGGAACCUGUAGCUCAUACCGCGUACCAUCGGAUGAGCCCAAGUGGGAUUAGGUAGUUUGUGAGGUAAAGGCUCACCAAGCCGACGCUCUCUAGCUGGUCUGCGAGGAGGACCAGCAACACGGGGACGGAGACACGGCCCAGACUCCUACGGGAGGCAGCAGUGGGGAAUAUUGCGCAAUGGGGGCAACCUGACGCAGCCAUGCCGCGUGAAUGAAGAAGGCCUUCGGGUGGUAAAGUUCUUUCGGUAGCGAGGCGUUAACUAAAGAAGAAGCACCGGCUAACUACGUGCCAGCAGCCGCGGUAAUUC